UUUAAAAUAUUAAAAAAUAUUUAUUCUCUCCAACAAAUCAAUUAUAUUAUAUUUGUUCUUUUUAUAUAAAUUCGAGGUUUUGCAUAGACAGAAUACGCAUUCACUCUAUUGAAAUUGAAGCUAUUCAAAAUGACUAAGUUUUCUUUCAUGCCAAUUUUUGUCAUUUUCUUUAUUUUUUCAGUUGUAACAAUGAGAUGUCAAGCUGAUCAAGUAUGUACCACUCCCCGUGAAGGUGAUUGUUUCCUUGCUGGAUGUAGACAAUGGUGCUCUCAAACUUAUAAUGGCAACGGACAUUGCGAGGCCUAUGGAAACCCUACUAGUCCUAAAUAUAAAUGCAUUUGUGUACAUAAAUGUUAAGUCUAUAACAAAUAUAUCACAAAUGUUUCAAUUAUAAAUGUAAGAGCGAAUCAAAAUAAAUUCAAUUUUCUUGCUACA